UUUCAGUAUUAUUGCUUUACAUCUAAUGAAUAAUAGUUGUGAAGAGCAAAGUAAGACAACACAUUCUAGUUACCAACCACACAUAAUCUCUUCUUUUUUCCAGUUUGUUGAAAACUAUGGCAACAUUUUCAGCCUCCAGUUAGGUUACAGGACAUUUGUGUUUGUCAGUGGGUUCCAGCUGGUGAAGGAAGCACUUGUUCAUCAGGGUCAAAACUUGGUAGAUCGUCCCCAGGUCCCCAUUACACAUGAAGUCUUUGGUGGCUUGGGAUUGAUCUUCUCUAAUGGAUAUAGUUGGGCACAACAGAGAAGAUUUGCCCUUUCAGUUUUAAGAAACUUUGGCCUGGGGAAGAGAAGUUUAGAGGAUCGAAUCCAGCAGGAGAUCAGGUAUCUCACUGAGGCAGUUGAGGAAGAGAAAGGUAAGGAAAUGAUUUUUGAACGUUUCUGUGGAGCUCUCUAGGCUUCCUCCUCUUUCCAGUGCAAAUGAAAUAACAUGCCAGUACCCUGGAGCCUGCAUUAUGCCUGCAUCUGGCUCCUUCCCAAAGCUCAGAAAUAUCAGAGAUACAGGUCAAGACCUGGACUUGGCUCCAAAAAAAUGUGUCAGGGUUUAGGUUUUCUAUCUAUCAAGUAUGAAACCAUACUCUGACUUGGUCAGCUUGCCCCCAAACUUCAUGUAGGAACAUGGAUUUAUACAACUGUCCUGCAAAUGUGACCAUUAAUUACCCAGGUAUGGUUAAAGAAGUAUGGAUAAAACUUAUCUAACCUAUUAUAUUGUGAAAGCAGAAAGCUGCAUUAAAAAUGCAAAUGGCUUUAGAAAAUCAAAUAAAACUGACUUGAAGCAGCUCUGCUUGGAUGUGCUGCUUAAACAGUCCGUGUUUAACAGACCUUUAGUUUUUGGGGAGGUGAGUGCAGCAAAUACUAUUCACAAGGGUGGCAUGGGAGGAUUUGCCAUCAAUAAAUUGAGAAACCAUCAGUGGAUUUCACACCCUUCUUACCUUGCUUUUUCACAAAGGCUGGAAGACAGCUGAUUUCUCCAUUUUGGUCUUUCCAGGGAAUCCUUUUGACCCCACCUUUAAAAUUAACAAUGCUGUUUCCAACGUUAUCUGUUCCAUCACUUUUGGCAACCGGUUUGAAUAUCACGAUAGUCACUUCCAGACAUUACUGCGGUUGUUUGAUGAGAUAGUUUACCUCCAUGGAACAUUUUGAACCCAGGUAAAACUCAUUUGAUUUCUGACGUGAGGCCCUGGAGGGACUCCUAUCUCGAUCUCCCUGAAGUCAAUAAUACAACUUCUUUUGUAGAAGCCGACUUGAGUAGGUCUGUGUUUUUCUUGGUCCCAAAUGUGCUUCUAUUUUGGCCUGAUUGUGAUGGUCAUAUGAUCCUUUUCUCUCGGGACUCCUCUAUCUUUCUCUAUCCUUAUCUGUCUAGCUACCCACUUUCUCCCAUUCUCCCUGAGGAAAUCCUGUCUGAUUGCCCAUUCUGACUUCUCCUCUCUUAGCCUUUGAGAUAAGUCACCUUCACCUGCAGAAGGUGACUCACUCCUUCUUCUUCACUCAUGGUUGAUUGGCUAGCCUGUGUUUGAUUGCUUUUGUCCCUCACCGCACAGAAGUGGGAAGCCUCUCAGCCUUUACUGGGGUUAGGAGGAAAGUAGCAACAGUCUGCUCAACAUAGCCUAUGGCUCUGGUGGUGACUAUUGUUCCUGAAUUUUGCCUCCUAUCCGAUAAUGGCCUUGACACCCUGACUUUGACUAGUGACCAUGAUUACAGGCUUGGGUCUCACCUGCUACUCAACUGGGACAUCCUCUUGGUCCUAUAAAAAUCCUAUACACCCUCUUUAUCUUAUACAAAUCCACUGCCCUGCUGCUGCCCUCCCCACAGCCCAACUAGGGUGUCCUCCGAUAGGACUGAAGAGAUGAUGGAUGAUUUCAACAGCCAUCAGGGAUGUGUAAAUUGGAGAGAGGAAGAAGGAAGGAUGCUGUCUCUCCCUGCUAAGUAACUCCAUUCCCUCUUGUCACUUGGCACAUUAAACUCUGUAUUCUUGGGAGGGUGGACUCAUUUGCACAUGAGUCUUGAAAAUGAAGGAAUAAAUGAAUGAAUGACAAAGCAGCGUUAUACAGUGACGGUGAUAUCCCAGGAUCUGUUUCUCUGGAAAAAGAACCAGUCCUUGCUAAGUUUUCCCCCCCAAAAAGGGAGUGUUAUGACUUUCUAACCUUUUAAUGUCACCGCAAAGUAAUAGGAGUGACCUCUCAGGACAGGACUGGUCUCUGCUAAUGGGUAUAGCUGGAAACAACAGAGACGAUUUGCCCUAUCAACUCUGAGAAACUUUGGCCUGGGGAAGAGAAGCUUAGAGAAGCGAAUACAACAGGAGAUCGCGUAUCUCAAUGAGGCAGUUGAGGAAGAGAAAGGGAAUCCUUUUGAUCCCCACUUUAAAAUUAACAACGCCGUUUCCAACGUUAUACGUUCCAUCACUUUUGGCAGCCGGUUUGAGUAUCACAACAGGCACGUCCAGAAGCUGCUGCAGUUGGUGGGUGAGACGCUGUACCUCCAUGGAACUGUUUGGACCCAGGUAUAACUUGGAAAUCAACUGAAAUCAACCCUAACACUUCUUGGGAUGGUUACAGUGGAGGCAGACUUGAGUAGGUCAGCACCGUUCUUGUUCCUUGAUUCAUUUCUGCUUUGGCCAGAUCGAGGUGUUCAGAUGCUCUUUCUCCUCGGUACUUCUCUGCGUUCUCAAGAUCCCCCCUUUAUCCUCCUUCUCCCCCACGGGAUCCUAUCUGACCUCCAGUUUUAUAUUUGGGAUGCGUCACCCUCAACUGCAGACACCUCAACCUCUCUUCCUUCACCUGUGGCUGAAUGGCCAGCCUGUGCUUGACUCCGACGGAUCCACCCCACGCAGCAAGUAGGACAGCUCCCAGUCGUCCCAGCAGCGAUGCUGCCUAUAGUGUCCUGUUGCUGGGAGAGGAAAGAAAGGCUAGUGGUUAGUGUGGGGUUGUGCAGAUGCCCCAUGUGAACUGUGACACUUCCUUCAGCUGCCCGGGCUCUUGUUAGAAGAGUACCUGUAGGCAGCCUGCGGUUGCAUUAUAUUGUCUGCCUCUCCCAAUCAGGUACCAAAAGUACAGCAGCCUCAGCUGGGACAAGACAGUAUUGUGCCAUACUGUCAGUGUGGGAUCAUGAAUAGUUUCAUAGUAGUUUCAUAGGAGCUAGGGUCAGGAGGGACCUGAACAGAUCAUCGAUCCUGACCCCCUGCCACAAGCAGGAAUGAAUGCUGGGUUCACAAGACCCCAGACAGGUGAUCGUCCAACCUCCUGUUGAAUUUGCCCAAGGUAGGGGCGAGGACCACUUCCCUGGGAAGCUGGUUCCAGAUUUCGGCCACCUUAACUGUAAAAUAUUGCUUUCUGAUCUCUAACCUAAACCUAUUCUUCAUCAGCUUAUGACCAUUGUUCCUCAUCACCCCAGGUGGUGCUGGGGAGAAAAGGGCUUUGCCUAUUUACUGUUGAUCUCCCCUGAUGAGCUUGUAGGCAGCCACCAGGUCCCCCCUCCCUCUGAAGAAGAAAAUCUUUCAUGCAAAGAAACCUCCAGUGGGCAUAUGUGAGGCUAGAAUAUAGAGAAGAGGACAUUCAGGAGUUGCUAUAAUUUAAAUGAAGACAGAAGGUGCUAUAAGUCAGGGAGGCAGGGGUGGGGAUCGAGUAUUAUAGCCAUGAUAAUCCAGGGAACGUACAAGACUCAAAGGGGUUUUGGACGGUCUUCUAUUGGGCAAGCUGAAUAACUGAGAGAUUGGUUAGACAAGCUUUUGGGCACAUAAAAGUACCUUUCUGCAGGUCUUCAGGGUAGUUUGUACUGAAAAGCUUGUGUAACAUCUCUCCCAACUAUACAUUUGGUCCAAUAAAAGAUAGCACAAAAAAACUCUCACCUCUCAUUGUAAUAUUUGGCUUUGCUUCUGAUAAUGUUGAUUAUCUUCUUUGAAUUAACUCUGUGGAAAAACCGGGCCCAUAAAUCACAUCUUUCAAUAGUUCAGACACUAGAAAAAGACAAAGACCAAUACUGUUACUAGCAUAAUACUGCUGUUGGUAGUGACAGUGGUCAGACUCUAAAUGUAAGCGUUCGGUUCAUUUACACAAAGAUGUUGCACAGGGAAGGGCAGUUCAGGAUUCAUUCCUACAGCCGUACCACUCUGCUUUGAUUGUGUCUAGAAGCAGCUACCUGUAGUUAAAAACUCCUUUAAGACUAUCAACUCAUUUGAUGAGGAGCACUCCGAACAUCAUGGUAGCAUUGUUUAUAAAUGAAGGCAUUCACCAAGGUUUUAAAGGACAUUGCCAUAUUCUUGGAGUAGACCAUAACUCUCCAUUUUCAAUCAUUUCAUCCUGUUAGGACUGCUAUUGUUCAUCAGCUGCCCUUUCUCUCCCUUUCAGGAAAGAUGGCUGGAACAGAGAUCUUCAUUUUCUUCACUGUUCCAACUCAGAAAUUCACAUCCCAAGCUCUGGACAAUGUCAAAUUAUCUCCUGAAUUCACAACCACCCAUUCUGGCUUUCUGAUAUUUCUCACUUUCAAGGAUCAGGAAGAUUUUAUUGCUUUCUUCCCUUUUGCAUUUAACUCUUGCUUUGCAAUCAGAAAAGCUCCCAUUCCCUUUCCCAACACAAUCUUAAUUUUUAAAACUUUUUUCCUAGUAUUUUAUGCUGGGAGUUUCCUAGCAACCAAUGUGUGGAUUAUAAGAAACCUUUGCUCUUGUGGUCAGCCUUGGAAGCAGUACUGGGAAUAUCUCCCAUCUCAGAGUGCCCAUUAGUGGGAGGAGCCUGCUCCCCACUUCCCCCUGGCCCCUGAUAAGAAGUAGCUUUUAUUUGGUGCUGCUGACCUCAAAUGUACAAGAUAGCAGGAAUUGCAAGCUUUGUAUUAGGGCUGAGCAAAGUAUAGUCUAUGGGUGAAUCUCCCAAUCGGCACUGAUUCUCCGAAUCCAAAUCAGCCGAAUCGAAUCGGGACAGUGAUUCGAAUCCCCAAAUAGAAUCACUGUCCCUCCAAAUCAGCUGAAUCCAAAUCUGAAGUGAAUACUUGCUGCUUCGCAUGUGCUUACUUUGUAUGCUAUACAACUGGCUUGUCCAACGUAAGGCCCGCGGGCCGCCAUGCGACCCACCAAGCCGUUUUCUGAGGCCCAAGGUGCUGCAAUGGUAAAUGAAAGUAAACACUGUUUGCUUUCAUUCCCACCCCUUUUCCUGCCCCCAGCCCCUCAGCAGGUGACCGGCGAGCAUGGACUACGAGACAGUUGGCUGCCCCGUGACUGCUGACCCUCUCCCUGGGGGAAGCAGGGCCCCUCUCUUGGCUCCCCCGACCGCAGCCAUCAAGGCUGGGGUGGGUGAGCUUGCCCCAGGUGGGUCCCAGGGCCUGGGCUGAGGCCCCUCUCCCAUGCCCAUCAUGCAGCUCCUUUAAGCCCUACGCUGGGGGUGGUCCGCACUGCAUCAGCAGGAAAAGGGUGGUGUGGGGUAGGACGGUGAGGUCCAGUGUAGGGAUGAGCAGGCGAGCGUGAAACAUGGCUGCCUGGCUGUCAUUGGGACCGUGUCCCCAGGUUGGAUGCUGAAGAACCUGCACGGGGGUGCCACACGCGUGCGUGCACUCGUGAGGAGGAAGCACAAGGUCACACUCGCACCUUCCUCCUCCUCCUCCAUGGGAGCUGGGGAUGAGGAGGGAGGUGGGCUGUGUGCGCGUGGCCGUGUGUGAAGACCAGGCUUCUCAUCCCCGAUGGAGCCAGGCAGUGUCCUGAGGCGCUGCUUCUCCUCCUCCUCCUCCUCACUGCUGCUGCUGGAGGCCAACAGCCGGCUGCUCCUCCACGGCUUCCUCUACCUGGUGCUGUACGCCCAGGUGUCCCAGGGCAAGCCUGCAUUACGCUUCGUUCAUUCAUUGAGAAGUGAGUAGCAGCGGAAGUGCUUAUUUUAGUUAAGAAUUUGGUAUUAUUACAUUGUUGCUUUUAUAUUGUUUUUAUUUGGGAUUUUAAACCACAUUUCCAGACCCAUUUCAUUGUCAUUUCCUGCAACAUCAUUGGUGUCAAAGGUCAUGUGACAUCACUUUCUGAUGUGAUACCGCUUCCUGUGAGGUCUUUGAAUAUGGCUCGCUGGCCCAGUGGGUGAUAAAAAGUUCAUGAUCCAGCCCCAUGUUCAAAAAGGUUGGACAUCACUACUAUAGAAGAUGAAAGGGCACACAGGCCCAGUAGGGCUUCUAGGAUUUGUAGAUGCAUUGGGAGAGUAUCUGCAGUAGGGAAUGUAAUUCUUAAUGCAUCAUGGAAAAAGGAGGACAAGCAGUCUGAAAUGCAACCCUCCUGUAUUUCAGGUGGGGUCAGGGAUACCGCCUACCUUUGAUAAGACUCUAGUAAAGACUGCUUUGCCACAGACACUUUCUUCAACUUUGUAUAAAUUCUUUCAACUUGUAAAAAAUGCUUAGAUCAAAUUUCAAUUUGGGGUACCUCAAUACUGGAGGCCUGAGUUGAGACAUCUCACGUUGGUAAUGCAUUUCAUCAUGUGAUACUAUGCCGUGGAGGCAGAGUUGGGAGCAAAACGUAUGCUCAAAAUUUAGAACACCCUAAAUCAUAGAUCACUCUUAAAUAUUUAGGCCUUGUCCUCUCCAUCCUUCUUUUGUCUACUCAUAAAAAUGGGUACAAUAUUAGUUAUUACUUGAUUCAUAGAACUCAUGUGAGUAAAUCCAAUCAGAUUACUUUUCCCCAUGGAGAGGCAGGCUCCAUGGAUUGGGGGAGACAGAGGAUGUGAUAUACUUUGAAUUUAGCAAAGCUUCUGACAUGGUCUCCCACAAAAUUCUCAGUAAUAAGCUAGUGAAAUACAGACUAAAUGAAAGUACUGUAAGGUGGAUACAUAACAGGUUGGAUCAUUGUGCUCAGUGAGUAGUCAUCAGUGGCUCAGGAAGUAUCAAGUGGGGUUCCCUAGGGGUCUGUCCUGGGUCCAGUAUUGGAUAACAUCUUCAUUAAUGAUUUUGAUGAUAAAAUUGAGUGCACAGUUGGUGCAUUUGCAGAUCACACCAAGUUGGGUGGAUCUGAAGACCCUGUGGACGGUAGCACUAGGAUCCAGAAUAACCUGGAUAAACAGGUGAAACGAUCUGAAAGCAACUAGCUGAAAUUCAACAAAGAUAAGUGCAAAGUCCUGAACUUGGGAUGGAAUAAUUGGAUGCACAAAUACAGACUGGGAAAUGGCUGUGUAAGCUGCAGUACUGCAGAGAAGGACCUGGGGGUUACAGUGGACUGGAAGCUGACUAUGAAUCAACAGUAUGCUCUUGUUGCAAAAAAAGCCAACGGCACACUGGGUUAUAUUAACAGGAGUGUCACUUGCAAAUGAAGGAAAGUGAUUCUUCCUCUCUUUUUGGCCAUGAGGAGGCCUCAUCUGGAGUACUGCAUCCAGUUUUCUGCCCCCUACGCUUCAAAAAGUAUGUAGACAGAUUGGAAAGAGUCCAGCGAAGAGCAACACAAAUGGUUAGCGGCCUGGAAAAUCAUAUGUAUGAGGAAAGGCUGAAAGUAGUAGAAUAUUUAGGAAAGAGAAGAGAAGACUGAGGGAUGAAUUAAUUGUCUUCAAAUCCCUGAAGGGUGAUUAUAAGAAGGAAGGAACUUUUUCCCUGUGACUGCAGGGGACAGGACUAGGAGCAAUGGUCUCAAGCUGCAGCAGAAUAAAUUUAGGUUGGAGAUUAGAAGGAGCUUCCUGAUUGUGAGGGUGGUCAAGGAUUGGAAGAAACUACUUAAAGAAUUUGUGGCAUUUCCAUUUCUGGGCAUUUUCAAAACCAGGUUAAGAAUAUACUUGGCUGGGAUGUUUUAGUUGGGAAUGACCUUACCUGGAGCAGGGAACUGAACUGGAUGGCCUCUUGAGGUCCCAUUGAGCCCUGCUUUCCUACGAUCCCAUGAUCCUAUUUCAGUUUGGAAAUGCUUCUGUGGUAUCUCAUAGGGUUUUAGCUUGGGUGUUUUCAUACUCCUUUUUAAUCCAGGACCCCUGGUGGGACCACCACAGUGUACUGCUGUCUUCCCUCUAGAAGCGGAGAAAAGGUUUUACAUUGUGGGAGAUUUACUGUAUCCAGGGAGGAGCCCACCGAAAAGAACGGGGAGAGGCUCUGACUGAAAUGGUAGCUCCUACAAAGCCCCGCAGCUGCCUACCAAUUGCUAAAUACUUACAUUCUUGUAUUUUAGGGUUUUUUUGACCCAAAAAAACCUCAGUUGCAGCCCAUCCUGCAGACUAGGAAAAGCACACUCCAAAGGAAUUAUAGUUUUACCUGCUAUGGAGUUUGGAACAAAAUCAAUAUCUUCAGAACAAAGUCCUGGAUUUUGUAGGAAAAGGACACUGCAAGGCCAUAAAGCAGUGUCAAGUCAUAGUUUAUUCCCUUCACAGUUCCCAGGAAAACAUGACAUGUCAUACUGGGUCAUUCCCCAGGUCCUUCUAGCCCAGGAGCCUUUAUUUAUAGUGGCUAAGGGAAAGAGUAUUUCUAUAGGGCCUAUCAAGACCACAUCUCUUCCUUUACAGCUUCCAGCAUUCAGAGGCCUAGAAAAUCAGCAGAAUACCCAGGGACCUCUUCUUCCAUUGAUGCCCUGAGAUCAUCUGCAAAAGAGAGAGGUAAUCGUGCAGGUCCCAAAUAGUAACCUCAUGUUCCUUCCUCCCUGCUCCCCUUUGACUUCAGUGGAACUGCCCUUGGCCCCAUUCCUCUCCUGCAAUGUACUGAU